GACGAACGCUGGCGGCGUGCCUAAUACAUACAAGUAGAACGCUGAAGGAGGAGCUUGCUUCUCUGGAUGAGUUGCGAACGGGUGAGUAACGCGUAGGUAACCUGCCUGGUAGCGGGGGAUAACUAUUGGAAACGAUAGCUAAUACCGCAUAAUAGCAGUUGUUGCAUGACAACUGUUUGAAAGGUGCAAUUGCACCACUACCAGAUGGACCUGCGUUGUAUUAGCUAGUUGGUGGGGUAACGGCUCACCAAGGCGACGAUACAUAGCCGACCUGAGAGGGUGAUCGGCCACACUGGGACUGAGACACGGCCCAGACUCCUACGGGAGGCAGCAGUAGGGAAUCUUCGGCAAUGGACGGAAGUCUGACCGAGCAACGCCGCGGGAGUGAAGAAGGUUGUCGGAUCGUAAAGCUCUGUUGUAAGAGAAGAACGAGUGUGAGAGUGGAAAGUUCACACUGUGACGGUAGCUUACCAGAAAGGGACGGCUAACUACGUG
rnacentral:rRNA from 1 species